GGCGGCGUGCCUUACACAUGCAAGUCGAGCGAGGCGGGUAGCAAUACCCAGUCGAGCGGCGAACGGGUGAGUAACACGUGGAUAACCUGCCCUGAGGUGGGGGAUAACCCGGGGAAACUCGGGCUAAUACCGCAUGACACCGAGAGGUCAAAGGGGGCUCGCAAGGGCUCUCGCCAUAGGAGGGGUCCGCGUCCGAUUAGCUAGUUGGUAGGGUAACGGCCUACCAAGGCGACGAUCGGUAGCCGGCCUGAGAGGGUGAUCGGCCACACUGGAACUGAGACACGGUCCAGACUCCUACGGGAGGCAGCAGUGGGGAAUUUUGCGCAAUGGGCUAACGCCUGACGCAGCAACGCCGCGUGGAGGAUGAAGGUCUUUGGAUUGUAAACUCCUGUCAGCAGGGAAAAAGCGAAUUGGCCUAAUACGCCAGUGAGUUGAUUGUACCUGCAGAGGAAGCCCCGGCUAACUCUGUGCCAGCAGCCGCGGUAAUACAGAGGGGGCAAGCGUUAUUCGGAAUUAUUGGGCGUAAAGGGCGCGUA
rnacentral:rRNA from 1 species